GGAAGUUGAUGUUGAUUAUGAUGCUGAUGAGGCUGACACUGGGAUUGAAGAUGACGUUCCCCACACCAUCCCAGAAAAUGAUGAAAUGGACAUGGACUUAGAUUUUGAAGAUGGCUGUCAGCAGCUGCACAAACAAGAGAAGCCUUCCUUGAGUGUUCAGAAGUAAAGAGAAAAAUCAAGCAGAACCAGGACGAUCCAAAGCUAAAGCAGGACAAUCCCUGAG